rnacentral:tRNA from 1 species
GCCGGUUUGGCUCAGUGGAUAGAGCAUUGGCCUGCAGACCAAAGGGUCCUAGGUUCAAUUCCAGUAAAGGGCA